GUGCUGCGUGACGCUAAAUUGCAUUUAUACCCAUUACCUAGUUUGUAGUUAUUGUAAUUUGUCGCCCAGUCUUCUUCAUUGUUAUUUUAAUGAUUUAUACAUGAUCGAAUUAUAGACGUGAAUCAACGUGAGUACCUAUUAAUUUAUUAUUUUAUCCAUAAAUUACUUACUUAUCUACAGGUAGUUUAUUAGUUGUAACCUAAUUAUGCAAUUGAAAUCACCUAAUUAAAUACAAAAAUAAUUUCUUAUGUUUUUAUAUCAGUAGAUAGGUGCCUAGGUACUGUUGUGGGUGACUGUUUAACACCAAGUUCCAGGUGAACUUAUAACUAGUGGUGUAUUCGAUGCUUUAAUGCUUUCAAUUUAAUGUUUCUGCUUCCGUUGUCACUAAAAUAGCCUAUAACCUUAAUGCGUAAUGUGAGUUCAACUUGAAGUUUUAAUGUAAGCAAUAGGUAUUACAUUACCUAUAGGAAAUGUUACCUAAUUGUAUAAUAUUAGGUACUUAAUUAUAUUAUGUAUAAUAUUACCUAAAAUUCUGAAAUCUAAAAAUUUGUAUGAUUAAGUACACUUUUAAGAUUGUAGCAAUUAACAUAUAUUUGUAUUUGUAAAUCUAAAAAAUUUAAAAGUGGGGCGGGUGGGGGGGGAGUGAAAAUUGAUCGCAAUCACCUCUUUUAUUUAUAAUUGGUGUAUACUCAAGACUCUUUUUAAGACUACAUUAUUGUCUCUAACCGAAGUCAAAAAUAAACAGACAUAAUUUUUAUAAAUACCUACCCAUAUUUUACUAAAUUGUAAAAAUAUUCAAACACUUGGUCAAUUUCAUGAAAAAGCCUGGUAUGAAAGUACUCAAGACUCAACUGAAAAGGAGUUGUUGGCAGCCAGUAUUUAUAUUGUGUACUCAUAGGUGUAUUAUGAUGGUUUUCUGUUAGGGUGCCUUAAUAGCCUUAACAAAAUUGUUUUCAAGGAUACAUAUCUACUUGUCGGUACUGUUAUGGUGUUACCCCUCCCUUAAAAGCAUAAGGUUAUUAUGAGGCAUACACAGGAGAGGAUUUUGGGAGUUUAAUCACCUCAAGAACUUUUAGUUUAUUAAUUUUGUGUUUAAUUAUAAUCAACAUAUUAGGUGCAUAAAAAUAUUUUAUAAAAUAAAACACUAACAUUUUCACUUGCAUAUUAUGCACUUUAUGUAUGCCCUAUAGGUACAUAUGAAGAGCUACGGGGAAAAACGAUAAUAGUAAAAAAAAAAAAAAAUAGGAUAAUUAUAUCAUCUUGUCAUUUGUUUCUAAGUGAAUUGGUAUGUAAAUCGAUUUGGGGAAUAAAGAUCACGGUCAGUGAUAUAAAAUAGGUUUAAAUAUACCUAUGACAGCAAAACAAGAUCAUAGUUUGACUUCUGAAACUUUAAAACUGCAAUACUGCACAUUUUAGAAAUAUUGACUAAUCGUUUUUUGAGUCAUUUUUUCUUUUAGCAUUUUAUAUAAAAAUAUGGAUAAAUGUAUAUUACAAAUAAUUCAAAGUUAAUAAAAAUAAAUACUUAGAUGUCGGUUUACAUUUUUAAGAAUAAAUAUAUUUUAAUGUUACAAUAAUUAAAACAGUAAGAACUAAAAUUACAAAUAAAUAAUAAAAUUAAUUUCAACUGUAGACUUUUUGGCAAAAAUAUUUUAUAUUAACAUGAUUAAUAUUUGAUAUGUUUCUUUCCAUGCAAACUUAUGAUAUAUUUGUAAACCUCUCAUUGGAACAUUUAAACAUUUUAAGUAAAGUACUACCAAGCAGAAAUAUAUAUUUAUUGAUAUUGCAUGAAAAAAAUCAAACUAUGAUUUAAAAUAGAAAAAAAAAACCAAAUCUUUGUAUUACUAAAACCUUUUUCAAUAUACUCAGAAUGUAAAAUAAUUCAUUUUGACUGUAUAAUAAAAAGCUUUACUUCGUAUUGUUUAAUAAAAUGCUAAACUGUCAUCAUAUUUUAACUUAAUACAUUUGAUAAGUUUUAAACUUUCUGUUAAAAAUCUAAUUUUUAAACACAAAAUAAUAUAAGUUUGAAUUUUUUUAUCAAUUGUAUAAAAUAAUAAGCCUUAGAUAGUUAGAUAAUUAUAUUUUAUACAUUUCGCAAAAAAAAAAAAAGGGUAACAAGAAAACUUUUUCUUGGAUGAUUAUUUUAUAGGGGAAGCUGUAAGAAAUGUUAAAAGGUUGGAAAAAAUGUUGGUGGUUAUGACUCCCUUAGCCCCUCAUGCAUCGAGUAUGCCAUACCUACCCCAAGCACUAGUAUGCCUUCAGCAGUAAACAAAUAAUGAGAAAAUAAAUUAAGAUGGUUUGGGAAUGUCAUUAGAAGAAUGGAAUUUGAAAUAGUAAGAAUGGUUAUGAUUUUAUUAUAAUAAUUUAU
rnacentral:lncRNA from 1 species